rnacentral:rRNA from 1 species
GACAGAGGGUGCAAACGUUGUUCGGAAUUACUGGGCGUAAAGCGCGUGUAGGCGGCCCUGCAAGUCGGAUGUGAAAUCCCACGGCUCAACCGUGGAAGUGCAUUCGAAACUGCAGAGCUGGAGUCCUGGAGAGGAAGGCGGAAUUCUCGGUGUAGAGGUGAAAUUCGUAGAUAUCGAGAGGAACACCGGUGGCGAAGGCGGCCUUCUGGACAGUGACUGACGCUGAGACGCGAAAGCGUGGGGAGCAAACAGG